GCCCCUGUAUCCCAAUCGGUAGAGGAGACAGCCUCAAAAUCUGUACAGUGUGGGUUCGAGUCCCACCGGGGGCACCA
rnacentral:tRNA from 2 species